UACGUAGGGGGCAAGCGUUGUCCGGAUUUAUUGGGCGUAAAGCGCUCGCAGGUGGUUCGUCGCGUCGUGUGUGAAAGCCCCCGGCUCAACUGGGGAGGGUCACGCGAUACUGUUCGACUCGAAGGCAGGAGAGGGUAGUGGAAUUCCCGGUGUAGUGGUGAAAUGCGUAGAUAUCGGGAGGAACACCAGUGGCGAAGGCGACUACCUGGCCUGUUCUUGACGCUGAGGCGCGAAAGCUAGGGGAGCAAACGGG
rnacentral:rRNA from 1 species